UGCUCUCAAUGCUAAAUUUUACAAUACAACAUUAAAAUAUCAAUUAGUGACUGUUUUACUUGAUAUGCAGUUAAGUUCAGGUGGAUAAAAAAAGAUGUGAUCUUGCACAGAUCGACAUUAAAAAAGAGAUAAACCAAUAGAGCUGGAUUACACUUGCAGCUUAAAAGAGAAGAAAAUGUUGUCAGGCUGAUUGUGUAUGCGCCGUCUUUCCCCUCAAACUGCUCCAGAGGAUCACGCAGACGUGUACUAUGGAGUCCACAGAGGAUUCUCAACACCACGGCACAUUGUACAGCUUAUAAAUCAGUCAUUUCCAUCCCUUCUCUCUCCCUCAUGAGGCAGCUGGAACUGCUGAAUCAGCUCAGAUUCAUAUGAAGAGUUACUACUUCUACCGAGACGAUAUUGAUUUUCCGUGUUUGUAUGAGGAAAAUAUUCCCACACCUCUCAGAUCAUUUGAUGCCAUACUGAACAACCGUUCACACCCCAAGACACUUGAUAAAAAGGAGAGAAAAAAACACAGUGUUUUAUGUCAUAUAUGUGCUACAUAUGUCCAUGAUCCUUCUUCUCCUCCCUCUGGUUUUAUUUCCCUUAUUUUCUAACAAACCUCUUCUAUACUGGAGGGAGUGUAACACUCAUACACUUUGACUCCAAUGUGGGUCAGUGAGCUACAUCAUUGCUUCAUUUGGAUCAAACUCCAGCGCUCAGGAGUCAUUUAUCUACAUAGCGUGUGUGUGUGUGUGUGUGUGUGUGUGUGUGUGUGUGUGUGUCUAACCUUCAGACAGCACACUCUCUGCCACUGGGAGAAAUCAAUGCUGGGCUGCAGAACAAAGAGGAAGCCCCCUGCUGAUAUCUCCUAGGUAGACAUUUAAAUCAUUUAUUUGUUUACUUAUGCUGAAGCAAUUAACAUGAGCGAAGACAUUUUGAGGGUACACAUCAUUUUUCUCUUGUUUUGAUCCUUUUUGCCUUUGACUCGUUUUAAUCUUCUGGAUCAGACCUGUGAUACAAACAUUAAAAAAAACCUUGUAGAAGGAUAAUGAGAAUAUUCUUUGACAUAUUCUUAAAGGGGAUUUCAGUACUUUCAGAUAGAGGUGGAGUGGAGUCUGGAAUGGACUGUUUGUAUCAGAGAUUUUAGAUGCAGGCCGAUAUAAUCCAAUAUUCAAAUUUUUGCUGAUAUUGGACCGAUAUCCGAUAUCAGUAUCGUAUCCGGACACCCCUACUUCUAAGUCACUUUUCCUGUAGCGCUCUCUCUCUCUCUCUCUCUCUCUCUCUCUGUGUUUUCUUUAUUGCUCUCUAAAAAAGCCUGCCAAAGAACUAACGACCUUGUGUAAAAAUGUGGAGGACAUAAAGGCGACUAAAACUUCACAAGGUGUCAGUUUGAUAUCAUCAGCAUGUCUGUGUUUGUCUUCAGCUGCAGUUUCCUCUGAAAUUCUUCCGUAUCAUAACAUUUAAUGUAGGUAUUAACAAAUUCACACCCACUCCUGGUAUACCACUAUCCUGUUUCCACAUCUCCUGUGACUCUGUCUAGCUGGUGCAGUUUGAGUGACAGCUCAGCUUGGGUAUUGGUGGUUGUGGCCUGUGUCAGGGGGCCUGUAGCUGUCAGCACCCUCUGAAUCCUGAAACCAGAGAUGGAGCUCAGGGCGGAGGAGGCCCUGAGCUCUGCCCGUCUCUCCUCCUCCUCCUAAACAGAGCCUCCGCAGGCGUCUUGUGGUAGAAAAUAGAGCCUCAUAUGCCCUGUUACUUGUUUCUUUGCUUGAUCUGAAAUCCGUGCAAAGAACCCGACGGAUCAGGUGUCUGACCAUCUGCAUCCCUUCUCUGCCUCAGCUGUUGAAGACACAUGUAUGACAGCUCAGACACAGGUGCUGCUCAUCACCCGGCGUCUGAAGAAAGUGUGUGUUUUGUGGCUUUGCUCGCUGACUUUCACUCAGACAGGUAAACACAAGGCCGUACAUGCUCAAUAAAGACCUAAAAACAGGAAGAGCCCAUCCUGUGACAUGCCAAACUACCCAGUGACCGUGAGGUGAACUCACUCCUCGGCAAAGGUUUAAGUGCGGUGAACGUGCACUCGUGUGUUUGUGUGUUAAGUUUAAGUGGUGUGUGGUCGAAAUUGCAUGUUGUGGUGGUAAACCGGUCCUGUAACCAAAGAGCAACCUUACACUUUAGCUGACCCCUGCCAUGUGAAGGAUAAAAUGAGCGCUAAGACUGAAGCUGUCCAGCCUGACAGAGCACUUUAUCUCAGCUCAGGGACCCAUGACUAUUUAAUGACCAUUCGCAGAGCAGAGGCGUGAAAACUCACCACUCUCAAGUUGUUUUGUGUGUUUGUGUUGAACUCCAUUGAUUGAACUCAAACCCUACAUGGAUGAGUGUUGACAGAUGCAUUAUGGGAGACUGAGCACUUUAUUGCUGGUGUCUGAUAUGUGGUUGUUUCCUGUUAACUGAGGGGAAUUAAGGUCACAAAACACUCAGAUUUCUGCUGCUCUUAAAAGUUUUAUUUUAUUGACGUCAAACCCAAAAAUAUAGAUUCCACCAGAUUUGGAGGAUACAAAGACGUGUUGUGACUUCUCGUGGUUCCUGGGAUGCUUGUCUCUUGACAGAGGCAGCUGGUGCAAAAACGACGAGUCAUUGUCUUUUCCUAAGCCGCAGUAAUUCAUCAGCACUCGAAGCCGCUUUGGCUUAUUGCAUUUUUGACAGAGCAAUCUCCACCGUGUCAGAGAGAAUUUGGCUUUUAUGGAGGCGACUGAGUCCAGCAUACUUGCAAAUUGAAGACCUUGUGUGUACGUUGUGCGUCUGUGCACAGUUUUGAGAGUCGGAGAGGUUCAGUGUUUAUGAUGAAGUUUCCCAUCUGCUGCUUCAUCAAGCCUUAUUCCUUUUAUCUAUACUGAGAUACGCAUAACCCGUAACAAAAUAAUGGCCAAUGUGAGCCACCUUUUACCUGACUGCUUUUUUAAAUCAUGUGUUUAUGUUUUAUUUGGUAUCUCCACAAUAGUUACCAUCCAGCAUCAAAGCAGCUCAUCAACACAAUAAUAAUUAUAAUAAUAAUAAUAAUAAUAAUAGUACAUUUCAUUUGUAUAGCGCUUUUCAUGAUACUCAAAGACACUUUACAUAAAGCACGCAAUUUGAAUAUAGCAAUAAAAUAAUAUAAAUAAAUAUAAGUAAGUAAAAUAGUUACAUGUUAAAAGCAAUUUUAAAAAGGUGGGUUUUCAGAAGAGAUUUGAAGGAGGGCCAGUCAGUGCAGGAUCUGAUAUGGACGGGGAGAGAGUUCCAGAGGGAGGGUGCGGCAAUGGAAAAGGCCCUGUCCCCCCAGGUUCGAUGAGUCGUUCGGAGGGGUGGGGGCAGGAGGUUGGCAUCGGAGGUUGCGAUUGCGAUUUUGGAAGACAGGGGUGAUGUGGUGGAGCCAUCAAGGAUGCUGUUACAGUAGUCCAGUCUUGAAGUGAUGAAUGCGUGGAUGAGGGUUUCUGCAGCCGGGGGGGGAGAGUGAUGGGCGGAGGCGGGCGAUGUUUCUGAGGUGGAAUUAGGCGGUUCUUGUGAUGCGGUUGAUAUGUUGUUCAAAGGAAAGGUUCUUAUCGAAGAUGACACCAAGGUUCCGGAUGUGUGGGGAGGGGAGCAGAGUGGAGUUGUCGAUGGAGAGGUGGAAGUUGUGGGCGCUGUUGAUGGAGGUCUUGGGGCCGAUGAUGAUGAGUUCAGAUUUGUUGGCGUUCAGCUGGAGGAAGAGUCCUUUUGAGGCUCAACAGAAAAAUAGCAGCGCUUUAUUGUAUUCUUAAAUGUUUUUGCUCAUGUGUAUAAAUUGCGGAGAUUACUCAUAAUCAUACAAAGCAAUCCUCAGAUGUGCAGCAUUUCAAAUGUCAAUGUGCUACUCUGGAGAGCUAGGCGAUAACCAGAGGAUGCUCACUGUCUUCACUCGCAGCUGUGAUCAUGUUUACAAAAAAUGACAAAAAAAAUAAAUAAGGAUGAGGACAUAAUGUAGCUGAACACCCACUGUGAUCUUUCUCUGUCAGGCUGUUCUCCUUCUGGAUUUUGUUUAGUUUUGAACAUCAGGGUUUCUUCAAGUAAAGCAAAUGCCAGGGUGUUAUUAAAAUGUCUGCGCUUGUGGUGUCAGUACCAGCCUCUGAGUUAAGCUCCAUUAAAACUUACUUUCAGCUCUCAGAACAACAAGAGAGAUAUGUGUGUGCGAGUCUGCGAGCUGAACAGCCGAAACUGAUUCUGUUGAAUGGAGUAAGAGAAACAUGCAGUUUUUAAAGAUUGUGCAGCAACUAAUGCUCCAUUUGAGAGAUGUUAUAACUUAGAUGGAUGUGAACUUUUUAAGUUCAUUAAUGAGAUAUAAAUCCCCGCAGGUGUCUCUCUUUUGUAGAACUGCAGACAAUGUUAGAUUGCAAUAUAUUAGACAUGACUAUGAACCCACAGACUAGAGCGUCGCUGUCAAAGAGUAUACUGGUACACCAGUGGCUUGCACCCCCUAGUUUGGUCUGUGUAUGAUUCUCACCUUUGCUUUAAGUCACUGUUAGCACACCUGUCUGGCUCUUCCUACUCCUGUGCGCUAAGUAUGGAUAAGGGAAGGUCGUAUGCAGUACAUUUACGUGCACUCAAUGAUGGAUUUAUUGCAAUAUUUCGAUCAAAACUUGACUUUUAAAAUGCAUGUUAACACAUCAGCCUUACUGAAAGUAGUGAUCUCUUGCAUCCCAACAUUAUUGUUUCUUGAUUGUUUUUUAUCUUGUUGUUUUUGUCCUGUUAUGUACAGCACUUUGUACAGCUGUGGUUGUUUUAAAGUGCUCUACAAAUAAAGUUGAGUUGAGUUGAGUUGAGAAUAUCCAUUGGCACAAGUUGGCAAAACUAGCAGUUAAAUAUCAGUUCAAAUAAGUUUUUUGACUUUGAUGGUCCAUGAUUAUUUUUUGAGGACUUUUAAAAGGAGAAUUUGUUCAGUUUAUUCAGUUUAUUAUUUUUAAAAGUCAUGAAGAAAAUAUAAACAAUAAAAAAAAGACCUGUGAUAAAAUCAUGGUCAUGAUUCUGCCGUUUGAAUUCAGUUGUGAAAUCUUCUGCCGUAUCGCCCACCUCUAUUUUGUUGUUUCUCUUUGACAGUUUCCUCCUGAGAUGCAUCACUUCAGGCCAAAAAUAAACACAUACACAUGUACAUGCAUAAGACACUUAAGUCUGCAAAACCACCCACACACUUUGACUUUCAGUGAUCCACACAGAUCAUGCCUUCAUCUCCUUUCUUUUACACACUCUGUGCAUACAAGUGUUUCAUAACCUCCCAGACUGACAGGACCUCAAGGACGCUUCAUUUACUUCAUCAUAAUUACUUCUAAAGCAGAAUGUUACUUUGACCUCUCUCUCUCUUUCUUAUUAUCUCUUUCUCUUGCAUACACAAACACACCUCCUCUUCCUCCCUUCUGACCCUUUCGAGAAAGGAUGUCUGCGAUGGAGUCGUGUCAAAAUGAAAAUUGCCUGCGACGCUCCCCCUGUCUAGAUGCAUUGAUGUAGCGAUGUAGCACCGUGUGCCCUCUGUGACAAAGAGAGAGUGAGCGAACCACAGGAAAGUUGGAGGAGGAGGAGGAGGGGAUAUUUAAAGGCCCUCCUUCUCCUAAUGAUGCUCUGGUCUCACUGGAAUUUGUCAGCUGGCAGGCUGUGUCACGCUCUGUAAACUGCACCAUGCCAGAGGGAAAGACCACGCUGAAAGAGGGGGCUGUGAGGUGGAAGUGUCAGGAGAGCGAGCGGGUGAAUGUUCUCAUAAUUGCCUGGAGGUAUUCAACCUUUAUCAAAGUGAAGAGGCCUGAGGGAGCAUAUGAAAUAGCAGCCCCGACACCCCACCACCCUUCAACUCAGUGCUCUGUGCUGGGGUUUCAGAAAGAAUGAGGCGUAGAGGAGAGCAGAGUGUGUACUAAUGUCAUCUGAGGCUGUCACGGUAACUGCGAAAAUGAAUUACCGCUGCGCUGAACGAGCCAGUCACGGCGCACGAGAGGCUAACAUCGCAACCUCACAUGAACUCGCUUACCCUGACGUCUGUCUAGAGGGAAACAAUGGCAUCUCAACCAAAUAUAACUUCACUCUUUUGGGAGCAUUUCACCUUUCAGCCAGAUGAAUAAUGAGAACAAGCAAAUUAAGAAGGAGGCAAAAUGUAAGUCUGCGCUUAAAAGAUCCCUGAGAAACAAGGAAACAGAUUUGAGGUUCAUCCAGAAACUCAUGUUGUGUUCCAGUUACCUCCGAAGUCGGAUGUCGGAGCUGGGAAUGACAUUACACCCGAGUUGACGGCUGUUCCAGUGAACAAGUCGGAAAACUAAGAUGGACACCUACUGUUAGCUGUUGUCAGUUGUUGUUAGCAGUUGUUGGUUGUUGUUAGCUAUACCAGUUGUAAACAAAGCAUAACACAGUAUUUUACUCUUACAAACACCAUAGCACCGUGUUCACAGCUAGACGUUGGGCAGAACAAUAUAUACGACUUAUUUAAUUUCACAAAAACAAAUCAGAAGUGCUAACAAAUAAUACAUUACGAGAGCUUUCACUGUUAGUCUUUACUGUUGAUAAACUGCACUGCCAUCUUGGAUUAUGACGUCGUCAAGUCGGGGUUGAUGAGGAUCGUCCAACUUUCCGAGUCGGAAAUCCGACUUCAGGGCGGCGUUCCAGAUGAAUUUCCGACUCGGAGCCCGACUUCCGUGUACAACUGGAAUGCAGUAUUACCAUCCAUCCAUUGAGCUCUCUGUGAUUUUUUUGGUCCUAGUUGCCAAUGUAAACGCCUUGUAGACGUCCUAUCUGGUUGAGAAGAUGGUAUAGUUUGGAAGUAGACGUUAACUCAACAAGCUCUCCAUGAUCCACAGACCAGUAAAAGAUAUAAUCUAUAAAGAACCACAGGUAACACUUUACAAUAAUCAUAACUUAUAAAUGGUAAAUAGACCAUUUAUAAAUGGUAAGCAGAUAGUUUAUUAAUGUUUAAUCAUCAUUUCUAAAUAGUGUAUAGACCAGUAAUAAAUUGUAAAUUUUAUAAUUGUAAAAACCUAACCCUAACCCUGACUUUACAAUAACCAUCUAAGUAAUGUUUAUAGGUAGUUUAUAAAACACUUAUUAAUCAUUUGCAAAGUAUUACAAACAUCAGUUCCACUUUACAACAACCAUCCAAGUAAUGUUUAUAGAUGGUUUAAAAACCAAAUAUUAACCAUUUACAAAGUGCUACUGACACACAUUUUAAUCUAGAUGUUUUACAACCAAUAUUAAAACCCUAUAUAAACCUUUAAUAAAUAGUCAAUUAAAAAUGAAUGAAAAAGGAUGAUGAUAAACUAUCUAUUUGCCUUUUAUGAUUGGUCUAUAUGCUGUUUUUAAAUGAUGAUUAAAUAUUAAUAAACUAUCUUUAUCUUUGUGAUCUAUCUUAAGUUGUUUGUGAUCCAUCUUAUCAUGUAAGAGUAGGGAUUGAUUCAGAGCCAGUUCCCUCAGGACCAGCACAUUCUCAGCGUAGAUAGUGUCUGCUGCAUGUCUGCACUCUGUGUUGUCCGUGUUGUUUUCUUGGUGUAAUCAAACUAAACACUCUCUUUUAUUCGAUGGUGCGUCUCCGCUGAGUGUCAUUAGUUUCUUGCAGGGUUCGGCACAGAUCAUUUCACCCAUAUGUCAUUAAAACCUGUGAGAGAAAGAGUCAGAGGCCACUGUGUUCAUACAGAAACCACAGACAAAGACAGAGAAUUGCUUUUAAAGAAAGCACCCUGAGACACAAGGGGAUGAAGGAUAUGAGGAGAAAGUCUGAGUAAUAAAAACGUGUGCUGGGCAGGGAGAGAUGACACUUCUCUGAA